AUGGACAUAGCCAAUGAGUGUGACCAGAUUUUGGUGCUCAGAGAAACAGACAAAAUAGACCAUCUUCAAGAAAGUGAUGUUAACAACCUUAUUUCUUAUAGCCUCAUGUCUCCCCUGGGACAGCUUACUAUACGAACAAAAUAUGAAACACGCCUACAGUUUUACAGUGACAGAGCCAAAGCUUUUUCUGUUAUCGUUUGCGUAGCCCUUGGGGAAAUAUCAGAAUGGGGAUUGAUCUUGGCAAAGAGAUAG
rnacentral:lncRNA from 1 species